rnacentral:rRNA from 1 species
UACAGAGGUCCCGAGCGUUGUUCGGAUUCACUGGGCGUAAAGGGUGCGUAGGUGGCGAGGUAAGUCGGAUGUGAAAGCUCGGAGCUCAACUCCGAAAUGGCAUUGGAAACUACCUUGCUCGAGGGUUGGAGGGGGGACUGGAAUACUUGGUGUAGCAGUGAAAUGCGUAGAUAUCAAGUGGAACACCAGUGGCGAAGGCGAGUCCCUGGACAGCUCCUGACACUGAGGCACGAAAGCUAGGGGAGCAAACAGG